rnacentral:rRNA from 1 species
GGAUGCGAUCAUACCAGCACUAAAGCACCGGAUCCCAUCAGAACUCCGAAGUUAAGCGUGCUUGGGCGAGAGUAGUACUAGGAUGGGUGACCUCCUGGGAAGUCCUAGUGUUGCAUUUC